rnacentral:rRNA from 1 species
CAAAUUGAGAGUUUGAUCCUGGCUCAGGACGAACGCUGGCGGCGUGCCUAAUACAUGCAAGUCGAGCGAGCUGAAUUCAAAGAUCCCUUCGGGGUGAUUUGUUGGACGCUAGCGGCGGAUGGGUGAGUAACACGUGGGCAAUCUGCCCUAAAGACUGGGAUACCACUUGGAAACAGGUGCUAAUACCGGAUAACAACAUGAAUCGCAUGAUUCAAGUUUGA